GAUGAACGCUGGCGGCGUGCCUAAUACAUGCAAGUCGAGCGAAUGGAUUAAGAGCUUGCUCUUAUGAAGUUAGCGGCGGACGGGUGAGUAACACGUGGGUAACCUGCCCAUAAGACUGGGAUAACUAUGGGAAAACGGGGCUACUACCGGAUAACAUUUUGAACCGCACGCCUAGAAACUGAAAGGCCGCUUCGGCUUUCCCUUAUGGUUGCAACCGCGUCGCAUCGACUAGUUGGGGAGGUAACGGCUCACCAAGGCAACGAGGCGUAGACGACCUGAGAGAGUGAUCGGCCACUCUGUGACUGCGACACUGCCCAGACUCCUACGGGAGGCAGCAGUAGGGAAUCUUCCGCAAUGGACGAAAGUCUGACGGAGCAACGCCGCGUGAGUGAUGAAGGCUUUCGGGUCGUAAAACUCUGUUGUUAGGGAAGAACAAGUGCUAGUUGAAUAAGCUGGCACCUUGACGGUACCUAACCAUAAAGCCACGGCUAACUACGUGCCAGCAGCCGCCGUAA
rnacentral:rRNA from 1 species